CUUCCAGCAAGAGUCCCUGGAGUUUUCCACACACCUGGAGUUCAUCUACUCAUCACCACCGCUGAUUUAUACCCGGCUCUGCUCUUCAGUAUUUGCCAGAUCAGCCGUUCACCCAAGAGGGGAUCACCGCUCAGAGAAAGCCCUGCUCGUCCGUCUGUUUCUGAAAUUGUGGAUCUGCUUGCCUGCCUGCUCUCUGCCAACACGCACUGGAAUCUACUACCAUUGUUCUUUCAAUAAAUCCUCUGUUAUUUCAUCCUAA